GACGAACGCUGGCGGCGUGCUUAACACAUGCAAGUCGAACGAUGAAGCCGGAGCUUGCUCUGGUGAAUUAGUGGCGAACGGGUGAGUAACACGUGAGUAACCUGCCCUUGACUCUGGGAUAACUGCUAGAAAUGGUAGCUAAUACCGGAUACGACCCUCGGAGGCAUCUCCAGGGGGUGGAAAGAAUUUCGGUCAAGGAUGGACUCGCGGCCUAUCAGCUAGUUGGUGAGGUAAUGGCUCACCAAGGCGACGACGGGUAGCCGGCCUGAGAGGGUGACCGGCCACACUGGGACUGUGACACGGCCCAGACUCCUACGGGAGGCAGCAGUGGGGAAUAUUGCACAAUGGGCGCAAGCCUGAUGCAGCAACGCCGCGUGAGGGAUGACGGCCUUCGGGUUGUAAACCUCUUUUAGUAGGGAAGAAGCGAAAGUGACGGUACCUGCAGAAAAAGCACCGGCUAACUACGUGCCAGCCGCGGCGGUAA
rnacentral:rRNA from 1 species